GACGAACGCUGGCGGCGUGCCUAAUACAUGCAAGUCGAACGCAGUGGGGACGGGUGAGUAACCCGUGGGUAACCUCCCAUCAGAGGGGAUAACACUUGGAAACAGGUGCUAAACCGAUACUGAUGGAUGGACCCGCGGUGCAUUAGCUAGUUGGUGAGGGAACGGGUCACCAAGGCCACGAUGCCUAGCCGACCUGAGAGUGUGAUCGGCCAAACGGGGACUGAGACACGGCCCAGACUCCGACGGGAGGCAGCAGUGGGGAAUCUUAGGCAAUGGACGAAAGUCUGACCGAGCAACGCCGCGUGAGUGAAGAAGGUUUGCGGAUCGUAAAACUCUGUUGUGAGAGAAGCGGUAUCUAACCAGAAAGCCACGGCUAACUACGUGCCAGCCGCCGCGGUAAUAC
rnacentral:rRNA from 1 species